AGAAUCUUAAGCAGGCUCCAUUCCUAGUGAAGAGCCCGACAUGUGGCUCUAUCUCAAGACCCUGAGAUCAUGACCUGAGCCAAAAUCUAGAGUCAUACACUUAAUCAACUGAGCCACCUGGGCACCCCAAAUUUGCUUUUCAUUGAGUUGAAUUGUGGAAGAGUGGACUUGUUGACAUUCAACCAAUUUGCAGUGCUCCUCUGGAAAAAUUUCACUUUAAAGUUCGAGGGUUUGCUUCAGAAAUGGAGUUUGAGAAGUAUGUUAAGUAUGACUCUGGAUCUCAUAAUAUACUGGCUGCCAUCAUUUUCGACUGUAACUUCAAAAGCAGCAGUGAUCCUCUGCCACUUCAGGUAACAACAUA